UGCUUUUUGCCGAUCGCGAUAACUUGAGCUAACUUAUUACUCACAAUUUGAAAUGAAGUAAAUUUAAUUCGUACAGAACGCUAAUGAAAAUAAUUUGCUUUCCUUUUUAUGAUGAACUUCUACAAAAGUUAACUUAACUAUGAAACUUUCGCAUACAAUCCAUAGGAAAGACUUGAACAACAAGAACAAAGUCUUUAACAUUAUAAAUACAAAGUCAAACAUAAACAAUUGAAACACACUUGCCCAAUAGGCUAUACUUUAGG